rnacentral:rRNA from 1 species
CAAUAGCGUAUAUUUAAGUUGUUGCAGUUAAAAAGCUCGUAGUUGGAUUUCGGGCGGGUGACGGCGGUCCGCCUCUGGUGUGCACUGCCGGCAUCCGCCUUUCUGUCGGGGACGGGCUCCUGGGCUUCAUUGCUUGGGACUCGGGUUCGACGUGGUUACUUUGAGUAAAUUAGAGUGUUCAAAGCAGGCGAUCGCCCUGAAUACAUUAGCAUGGAAUAGCACGAUAGGACUCUGGCCUAUUUUGCUGGUCUGUAGGACCGGGGUAAUGAUUAAGAGGGACAGUCGGGGGCAUUCGUAUUUCAUUGUCAGAGGUGAAAUUCUUGGAUUUAUGAAAGACGAACUUCUGCGAAAGCAUUUGCCAAGGAUGUUUUCAUUGA